rnacentral:rRNA from 1 species
AUUGAACGCUGGCGGAAUGCUUUACACAUGCAAGUCGAACGGCAGCAUAGGUGCUUGCACCUGAUGGCGAGUGGCGAACGGGUGAGUAAUACAUCGGAACGUGCCCAGUCGUGGGGGAUAACGUAGCGAAAGUUACGCUAAUACCGCAUACGAUCUAAGGAUGAAAGCGGGGGACCGUAAGGCCUCGCGCGAUUGGAGCGGCCGAUGUCAGAUUCGGUAGUGGGUGAGGUAAAGGACCACCAAGCCGACUAUCUUUAGCUGGUUUGAGAGGACGACCAGCCACACUGGAGCUGAGACACGGCACAGACUCCUACGGGAGGCAGCAGUGGGGAAUUUUGGACAAUGGACGCAAGUCUGAUCCAGCCAUUCCGCGUGCAGGACGAGGGCCUUCGGGUUGUAAACUGCUUUUGUACGGAACGAAAAAGCUCUUACUAAUACUAGGAGUCCAUGACGGUACCGUAAGAAUAAGCACCGGCUAACUACGUGCCAGCCGCCGCCGUAA